ensembl:lncRNA
GUGAAUGAAGUACAGCCUGGUGAAUGAAGUACAGCCUGGUGAAUGAAGUACAGCCUGGUGAAUGAAGUACAGCCUGGUGAAUGAAGUACAGCCUGGUGAAGUACAGCCUGGUGAAUGAAGUACAGCCUGGUGAAUGAAGUACAGCCUGGUGAAUGAAGUACAGCCUGGUGAAUGAAGUACAGCCUGGUGAAUGAAGUACAUCCUGGUGAAUGAAGUACAUCCUGGUGAAUGAAGUACAGCCUGGUGAAGUACAGCCUGGUGAAUGAAGUACAGCCUGGUGAAGUACAGCCUGGUGAAUGAAGUACAUCUUGGUGAAUGAAGUACAGCCUGGUGAAUGAAGUACAGCCAGGUGAAUUAAGUACAGCCUGGUGAAGUACAGCCUGGUGAAUGAAGUACAUCUUGGUGAAUGAAGUACAGCCUGGUGAAUGAAGUACAGCCAGGUGAAUUAAGUACAGCCUGGUGAAGUACAGCCUGGUAAAUGAAGUACAUCCUGGUGAAGUACGGCCUGGUGAAGUACAGCCUGGUGAAUGAAGUAGAUCCUGGUGAAUGAAGUACAGC